rnacentral:rRNA from 1 species
GACGAACGCUGGCGGCGUGCUUAACACAUGCAAGUCGAACGGAAAGGCCUCUUCGGAGGUACUCGAGUGGCGAACGGGUGAGUAACACGUGGGUGAUCUGCCCUGCACUCUGGGAUAAGCCUGGGAAACUGGGUCUAAUACCGGAUAGGACCAUGCUUUAGUGUGUGUGGUGGAAAGUUUUUUCGGUGUAGGAUGAGCCCGCGGCCUAUCAGCUUGUUGGUGGGGUAAUGGCCUACCAAGGCGGCGACGGGUAGCCGGACUGAGAGGUUGGUCGGCCACAUUGGGACUGAGAUACGGCCCAGACUCCUACGGGAGGCAGCAGUGGGGAAUAUUGCACAAUGGGCGCAAGCCUGAUGCAGCGACGCCGCGUGGGGGAUGACGGCCUUCGGGUUGUAAACUCCUUUCGCCAGGGACGAAGCGUUUGGUGACGGUACCUGGAGAAGAAGCACCGGCUAACUACGUGCCAGCAGCCGCGGUAAUACGUAGGGUGCAAGCGUUGUCCGGAAUUAUUGGGCGUAAAGCGAGCGCAGGCGGUCAAUUAAGUCUGAUGUGAAAGCCCCCGGCUCAACCGGGGAGGGUCAUUGGAAACUGGUUGACUUGAGUGCAGAAGAGGAGAGUGGAAUUCCAUGUGUAGCGGUGAAAUGCGUAGAUAUAUGGAGGAACACCAGUGGCGAAGGCGACUCUCUGGUCUGUAACUGACGCUGAGGCUCGAAAGCGUGGGUAGCAAACAGGAUUAGAUACCCUGGUAGUCCACGCCGUAAACGAUGAGUGCUAAGUGUUGGAGGGUUUCCACCCUUCAGUGCUGCAGUUAACGCAUUAAGCACUCCGCCUGGGGAGUACGACCGCAAGGUUGAAACUCAAAGGAAUUGACGGGGACCCGCACAAGCGGUGGAGCAUGUGGUUUAAUUCGAAGCAACGCGAAGAGCCUUACCAAGUCUUGACAUACUGUGAGGACACAAGAGAUUGUGUUGUUCUGACCUUUGGUUAGACACAGAUACAGGUGGUGCAUGGUUGUCGUCAGCUCGUGUCGUGAGAUGUUGGGUUAAGUCCCGCAACGAGCGCAACCCUUAUAUCUAGUUGCCAGCAGUAAGAUGGGGACUCUAGAUAGACUGCCAGUGAUAAACUGGAGGAAGGUGGGGAUGACGUCAAAUCAUCAUGCCCCUUAUGACUUGGGCUACACACGUGCUACAAUGGAUAGGAACAAAGAGAAGCGAGCUCGCGAGAGUAAGCAAACCUCACAAAACUAUUCUCAGUUCGGAUUGUAGUCUGCAACUCGACUACAUGAAGCUGGAAUCGCUAGUAAUCGCGAAUCGGAAUGUCGCGGUGAAUACGUUCCCGGGUCU